CUGUGUUCUCUUCUGAAUUAACUUAAUUAGUUUAGAUGAAUACCAAAGAAAUGGUAGGCAUCAGGAUUGCGGUACAUAGGCCGAACUCGAUCCGCUGUGAGAGGAUCAAGUAUUUCUUUAGUUAGAUAGAUAAUUCUAGUCCCAUAAGUGAAAGGGUGAUGUGUGCAUUUGAUGAUAAAAGAUGAAAAAUAAAAAAUCAUCUGAUUUUUUAUAGCUAUAUAAAUGAUUAAAUUAAUUAGUAUAAAAUUAAUAAUGUACUCUAGCACUACAGCAAAACCUUGGAUGCCGUUGCUCACAUUCAUAUGGAAAAACCCUAGCUUGUCCUCAACUCAAUGGCCUAGACCAAGAGAACUGUCGGGUUAGGAAGCUCACACUUCUGAAAAAGAAUAAGAUAUGAAUGUUCAUUUUGCAUUACACUUAGUUACCACAUGUUUUUAUACCGUCGCGUCAACAUAAUUUGCUAUUUAAUUUUCAAUCAUCUGCCGUGGCUGAUGAUCACCACAAUUCCAUUCAUUGUUCAAAUGGCUCGUGGACAUGCCUCUUG
rnacentral:lncRNA from 1 species